UACGAAGGGGGCUAGCGUUGUUCGGAAUUACUGGGCGUAAAGCGCACGUAGGCGGAUUGUUAAGUCGGGGGUGAAAUCCUGAGGCUCAACCUCAGAACUGCCUUCGAUACUGGCGAUCUUGAGUUCGGAAGAGGUUGGUGGAACAGCUAGUGUAGAGGUGAAAUUCGUAGAUAUUAGCUAGAACACCAGUGGCGAAAGCGGCCAACUGGUCCGAUACUGACGCUGAGGUGCGAAAGCGUGGGGAGCAAACAGG
rnacentral:rRNA from 1 species